rnacentral:rRNA from 1 species
CCUACGGGAGGCAGCAGUGAGGAAUAUUGGUCAAUGGGCGCGAGCCUGAACCAGCCAAGUAGCGUGACGGAUGACUGCCCUACGGGUUGUAAACCUCUUUUAUCGAGGAAUAAAGUCCGGUACGUGUGCCUUAUUGUAUGUAUCUUAUGAAUAAGGAUCGGCUAACUCCGUGCCAGCAGCCGCGGUAAUACGGAGGAUUCGAGCGUUAUCCGGAUUUAUUGGGUUUAAAGGGUGCGUAGAGGGGUUGUUAAGUCAGUCGUGAAAGUUUGCGGCUCAACCGUAAGAUUGCAAUUGAUACUGGCAGUCUGGAGUACGGUAGAGGUAGGCGGAAUGAGUGGUGUAGCGGUGAAAUGCUGAGAUAUCACGAAGAACUCCGAUUGCGAAGGCAGCUUACUAAACUGACACUGACAUGGAGGCACGAAAGUGUGGGUAUCAAACAGGAUUAGAUACCCGAGUAGUC